GUCCAUACAAGUGAAACUGCUUCGGACAUAUAGAGUGCAAGCUGAAAUCAUUACAUGCUAAAAUUAUUACAUAAGCUGUCAACACAUGGAUAAGCAAAGGAUGUUCACACGGCUAUAUGAAGAUAAUUGGAGCAGUUAGAGUUUGAGUAGAUCAAGAAGUCUACAAGGCAAAAGGAUAAAGCAAAAGAGUCCUACUCAAUUUAGAAGAAGGAGAGAUGGUUACAACAAGGAGUGGGUUACUUGAAAGAGUCCUACAGAAGA
rnacentral:lncRNA from 1 species